rnacentral:rRNA from 1 species
CAGUAGCCGCAGGAAUACGAAGGGUGCAAGCGUUAAUCGGAAUUACUGGGCGUAAAGCGCGCGUAGGUGGUUUGUUAAGUUGGAUGUGAAAUCCCCGGGCUCAACCUGGGAACUGCAUCCAAAACUGGCAAGCUAGAGUAUGGUAGAGGGUGGUGGAAUUUCCUGUGUAGCGGUGAAAUGCGUAGAUAUAGGAAGGAACACCAGUGGCGAAGGCGACCACCUGGACUGAUACUGACACUGAGGUGCGAAAGCGUGGGGAGCAAACAGGAUUAGAUACCCGAGUAGUCCCUGUCUCUUAUAA